UUAAACGACCAAGAAGUUGAGAAACAAGUUCGUAGGUUACCACUGAGAAUGGUUUUCCCGAUAUCGUGUAAUAUUAUUAGUGUAUUUCCAGUUAGCAAACCGUGUGGUGCCAUUUAUUGAAUAUUUGUUUAGGGGAAAUGAUGUGAUUUUUGUAAAAAUUCGUCGAGUAACGUAAAAUAUUGUUUAAAGUAAUGGAAUCCGUAAUACGAAAGAUUAAUUUUUUCUCUCGUGUUAAUAUUUAUAUUUGUAUUUGUAUUUCUGUUUUUUUAUUCAAUUGUGUGGUGUGUUUUAGCGGUGAAACACCGACUACUUCUGCAGAUCCUUUGCCCGAGGGUCAUUGUGCCAUUCCAAUAUCAUACAUAGAUAAUAAAACAGCAACAUACAAGUGUCCUAGAUCAGCACAAAACCAAUCCUGUAUCACAAAUGGUGGAACCGCAGUUCCCGAAUACACCAAGGCUACUUUCUCAUCAUGCAAACCAGGAUAUUCUCGAGUUGAUAAUAAGACUGUGAAUUGGGUUUGUCUGGAAGGAAGCUGGUCACCAGAUUUACCCCAAUGUGAAAAAAUAUGUGAUAAACUGAAUCCUGUAAAUGUUGAUCUCGCUUGUUACCGUAACAAUGGUCCGAUCGAUUGUAAUGGACCUUUAAUUACCGGCGACAGAGUACAUCCUACAUGUAAGCAAUUUUACACUUACAAAGAUUUCGUUCCAAUUUAUGAAGAAUUAGUCUGCCAAGAAGAUGGAAAAUGGGAUAACAUUUUGUUUUCUUGCGUUCCGGAAUGUGGACGUCCAUUCACGGGUGUCGUGACUUUAAUAUCGGAUGAUACAACGGAAAAGUAUGGGGAUUCACCAUGGCAUGUGGCCAUUUAUGAUAUUACUAAAAAUCUAUUAAUUUGCGGUGGCACCAUAAUAAAUCCUCACUUAAUUGUAUCAGCUGCUCAUUGUUUCUACGAUCGUCUAAAUCAGAAAAAAUUGCCCGAAGAAAAUUACGAAAUUGUGGUUGGUAAAUUUACAGGAAAUUACAAGGUGAAAGAUAACCCCGAUCAAAAAUCAUACAAGAUUAAAGAAAUUCGAUUUUCCAACAAAGGUUACUUUCCAACGCUUACCUAUCACGCAGAUGAUAUUGCAAUAUUAAUUUUGGAUGAAAAAAUUGAAAUCAGCCCGACAGUUUUACCAGCCUGCGUAGAUUGGAUUCAUACACAGAAGUAUCAUCCUCCUGAAGGCACUCCAGGAAAAGUCGUCGGAUGGGGUGUCAACGAGUUAGGAAAAUUAAGCGAACAAUUACUAACGGCUAAUUUACCUUUCAUCAGCAAUAACCGAUGUAUUUCCAUUGUCCCCAACGAUUUCAAACCGUACAUAACUUAUGAUAAAUUUUGCGCUGGUUCUGAAACAGGACCUGGUGUAUUGCAGGGGGAUGAUGGAGGUGGAUUGUUAUUCCGAGAAGGAACAUUUUACUACAUACGAGGUGUUGUCAGCAUAAUGCAACCUUCGUCCAUGGCCAUCGCUGCUUUUACCGACUUAGCUGACCAUAUAAAUUGGAUUUUAAGUGUAAGGAAUGAGGUGGAACAAGAUAUUAUUAAGAAAGAGACUACGCUCGUUUCGAAGGGUUGAAGAUGAUCUUCUCUGAACUGCCAUUUGAAUUCGCAUUUACGAUAUUUACCUAGGGGAACAAACUGAGGUUUAUGUGAACCACUAGUUACGCAAGCAGCGCGUGACUUUUGGGCCACUCUAUGUAUAAACCAACUCACAAAACGUACGAAUAAAUCAUCAGGAAAUUUUCGUUCAGGAUCCAAUGUUCAAGAAGAGCUAUACGAAUCGCCAGACCGUGACCUUCUCAAAAUAUUAUUAAAUAAAUAAAACAUGUAAAACAAUUGUU